GACGAACGCUGGCGGCGUGCUUAACACAUGCAAGUCGAACGGAAAGGCCCUGCUUUUGUGGGGUGCUCGAUUGGCGAACGGGUGAGUAACACGUGAGUAACCUGCCCUUGACUUUGGGAUAACUUCAGGAAACUGGGGCUAAUACCGGAUAGGAGCUCCUGCUGCAUGGUGGGGGUUGGAAAGUUUCGGCGGUUGGGGAUGGACUCGCGGCUUAUCAGCUUGUUGGUGGGGUAGUGGCUUACCAAGGCUUUGACGGGUAGCCGGCCUGAGAGGGUGACCGGCCACAUUGGGACUGAGAUACGGCCCAGACUCCUACGGGCGGCAGCAGUGGGGAAUAUUGCACAAUGGGCGGAAGCCUGAUGCAGCAACGCCGCGUGCGGGAUGACGGCCUUCGGGUUGUAAACCGCUUUCGCCUGUGACGAAGCGUGAGUGACGGUAAUGGGUAAAGAAGCACCGGCUAACUACGUG
rnacentral:rRNA from 1 species